rnacentral:lncRNA from 1 species
UUACAGCUCUUCUAUAAAAGCAUGCAAAACAAAACUUUGAUCAACUUGCUUGCUAUGUUUGCUUGGAUGUUUGCAAACAAUAGGAAGGCGGAGUUUCAAUAUAUACUUGGAUUUGAUUGGACAUGCAUUGACAUUAAUGUUUAUUGCCCAAUCAAAUUCAAGUAAAUAGUAAACAAACUACCUACCUGUUGUUUACAAAUAUAGCAAGCAAGUUAAUCAAUGGUUUGCGUUGCAUGCUUUUAUAGAAGAGCUGUAAACCUUGU